CCUACGGGACGCACCAGUGGGGAAUAUUGCACAAUGGGCGCAAGCCUGAUGCAGCCAUGCCGCGUGUAUGAAGAAGGCCUUCGGGUUGUAAAGUACUUUCAGCGAGGAGGAAGGCGUUAAGGUUAAUAACCUUAGCGAUUGACGUUACUCGCAGAAGAAGCACCGGCUAACUCCGUGCCAGCAGCCGCGGUAAUACGGAGGGUGCAAGCAUUAAUCGGAAUUACUGGGCGUAAAGUGCACGCAGGCGGUCUGUCAAGUCGGAUGUGAAAUCCCCGGGCUCAACCUGGGAACUGCAUUCGAAACUGGCAGGCUAGAGUCUUGUAGAGGGGGGUAGAAUUCCAGGUGUAGCGGUGAAAUGCGUAGAGAUCUGGAGGAAUACCGGUGGCGAAGGCGGCCCCCUGGACAAAGACUGGCGCUCAGAUGCGAAAGCGUGGGGAGCAAACAGGAUUAGAUACCCGAGUAGUC
rnacentral:rRNA from 1 species